rnacentral:rRNA from 1 species
CAAGGCUUGACAUCCUACGAAUCUCUAGGAAACUAGGGAGUGCCCUUCGGGGAGCGUAGAGACAGGUGGUGCACGGUUGUCGUCAGCUCGUGUCGUGAGAUGUUGGGUUAAGUCCCGCAACGAGCGCAACCCCUGUGUUUAGUUGCUAACGAGUAAUGUCGAGCACUCUAGACAGACUGCCGGUGAUAAACCGGAGGAAGGUGGGGAUGACGUCAAAUCAUCAUGCCCCUUAUGUCUUGGGCUACACACGUGCUACAAUGGCCGGUACAGACGGACGCGAAGCCGCGAGGUGGAGCAAAUCCGAGAAAGCCGGUCUCAGUUCGGAUUGCAGGCUGCAACUCGCCUGCAUGAAGUCGGAAUCGCUAGUAAUCGCAGGUCAGCAUACUGCGGUGAAUACGUUCC